GAUGAACGCUGGCGGCGUGCCUAAUACAUGCAAGUCGAGCGAACAGACGAGAGUGCUUGCACUCUCUGACGUUAGCGGCGGACGGGUGAGUAACACGUGGGUAACCUACCUAUAAGACUGGGAUAACUUCGGGAAACCGGAGCUAAUACCGGAUAAUAUUUAGCUUCGCAUGAGGCAAUAGUGAAAGACGGUUCUGCUGUCACUUAUAGAUGGACCCGCGGUGUAUUAGCUAGUUGGUGAGGUAACGGCUCACCAAGGCAACGAUACAUAGCCGACCUGAGAGGGUGAUCGGCCACACUGGGACUGAGACACGGCCCAGACUCCUACGGGAGGCAGCAGUAGGGAAUCUUCCGCAAUGGACGAAAGUCUGACGGAGCAAUGCCGCGUGAGUGAAGAAGGUUUUCGGAUCGUAAAACUCUGUUGUAAGGGAAGAACAAGUACGUUAGUAACUGAACGUACCUUGACGGUACCUGACCAGAAAGCCACGGCUAACUACGUG
rnacentral:rRNA from 1 species